UUUAUAUGAUGAUUAGUCUUGUCUGAAUAUUUAAUUUUAAAAAAUGAAGACAAUAGUACUGCCCCAAACUGAUUAAA
rnacentral:snoRNA from 21 species